GCCUGGCUGGCUCAGUCGGUAGAGCAUGUGGCUCCUGAUCUCAGGGUUGUGAGUUUGAGUCCUGUGUUGGGUG
rnacentral:tRNA from 1 species